rnacentral:rRNA from 1 species
AGUGAACGCUGGCGGUAGGCCUAACACAUGCAAGUCGAACGGCAGCACAGUAAGAGCUUGCUCUUACGGGUGGCGAGUGGCGGACGGGUGAGGAAUACAUCGGAAUCUACUUUUUCGUGGGGGAUAACGUAGGGAAACUUACGCUAAUACCGCAUACGACCUACGGGCGAAAGCAGGGGAUCUUCGGACCUUGCGCGAUUGAAUGAGCCGAUGUCGGAUUAGCUAGUUGGCGGGGUAAAGGCCCACCAAGGCGACGCUCCGUAGCUGGUCUGAGAGGAUGAUCAGCCACACUGGAACUGAGACACGGUCCAGACUCCUACGGGAGGCAGCAGUGGGGAAUAUUGGACAAUGGGCGCAAGCCUGAUCCAGCCAUACCGCGUGGGUGAAGAAGGCCUUCGGGUUGUAAAGCCCUUUUGUUGGGAAAGAAAAGCAGCAGGUUAAUACCCCGCUGUUCUGACGGUACCCAAAGAAUAAGCACCGGCUAACUUCGUG